rnacentral:lncRNA from 1 species
CAGGUGACUGGAAGUCUCGUCAUGCACAGGGAGAUCGCCUCCAGGCAGAAACAGCCGUAGGAGACGAGCUUGACUAGCAAUACCUGAAAACCCUACGUGCAGAAAUGAGCUGAUCUAAAGCAUGAGAAAACUUAGGGCCAAAUUAAGAACAGAAUUUACACCUACUUCUACCAUGAGCCAGGACAUAGCAACGGAUUCAGGUCAUCUCUGCCAGCUUUGUGUGAAAAUCUGAAGCUAUACACUCCCAUGGCCCAAAGACCACAGCUUCACGGUGGGCCUGUUCUACAGAGAUGCUCCGAGCACAGAAUCUUCUGGAAAUUUAGAGCAGCAACUGAGAUCACCGAGGGUAUUUGUUCGCCUUGCAGCACUGGGGUUCAAACACAGGAUUUUGUGCAUGGUGGAUCUGGCUGCAAAGCUCUCAGCUAUUUCUCCAGCAACAUGCAUGCCAUCAUGCUACGCUCCACGAUGAUAAUGGACUACCCUCCCAAACUACAAGCCAGCCUCCAGUUUCCUUACAGGAAUUGCCUCGGUCACGGUGUCUCUUCACGGCAACAGAACACUGACUAAGACACCCG